AUUAUAGCAAUCCUGUAGACCAGCGUCGGAAUCAGCGUCGAGGUGAUACUCCAAGUGUUUGUAACCUGACGUUUUGGAGAGGAACCGAGCAUGAAACGAUAAAACACAUCGUUUAUCAAUUUUCCAAAUCGCUAUACUCUAAAUUUAAAUGUUCGAAAGACCGAGAAUCUCUUUAUACUGUCUGAUUAUUAAAAUUAUUAUAUUUUAGAUUCAAAGCGCCGAUGGAUACAGUGAUGGAAUUAACGGCCAGUGGAAUUUCAUAGGCAGCAAAUCACGAGUUCUGGCUCUACUCAAUUAUCAAUGCUGAGGAGCCGAAAAUACUGGAGACUCAGGCAUCAAAAAUCCAUUCUUACUGGGGAACCGACGUCGUUCAACAGCACUUUGAUAUACGUACUCAGUUGGCUGUUCACAGCGACAACUUAGUGGCCCACGAUCCAGUGAAAAUGACAGUUGGCCAGGUGCAGGGAACGUUUUACAUUCUGGCGAUUGGACUCGCGAUAAGCGGAUUGGUUUUCCUGAAAGAGUUGUACGAUGCACAAAAAUCGACUCGUCAACGCAAAAAGGAGAUAGAAGGGUAUUAAGUAUUAACGACAAUACGGAAAAAUAUUCACGCCUUUCAUAGCCUUGACUUCUCUUUCGUACUAAUCACAUGUUCGAAGAAUCGAUGGAAUAUUCAACUCAGGGCUGCAAUGUGAAUGCCAUUUACAAGUAAGUGAAUCGUAUUAUUAGAUCGAUAGCGUUCAACUUUAACGUCUAAACUUAUCUUAUUCUUGAAGAGCACCAUAAAUACACGGUUCGACUUUAUUGUGGUUACGAAACCGUCAAAAACAGUAUCAUCAGCGUAAAAAUGAAAAAAAUUGUCGUAUAAUCUGUUCCACAAGUAGUGCUGUAAGCUUCUUAUUCUAGAACUAUAUUGUAAUCAUAUGCACUGCUUGCUGCGCUAAUGUGUACGUGCGGAUUAAACUCUAUCGUUAUAAUUAUUGUUAUAAGCGUGAAGACAGUUACACGUACGAUACAAUUACAUUAUUUUAUGCCGUGACAAGGUGAUAAAUUGUUGCCGUGCGUUUUAAACGUUCACCAACGAAUUCACCUGCAGGCCUGUAACGAUAUGCUAGAUAUCAAAUUUAGAUUGUCACGGAUCGCAAUUGAAUCCCGAUCUGGCUUAUAAAUCAUUCUCCAUCAGAUCGGGGAUUUUUUUCGGACCUGCUCGAACGUCGCUUAUAAUUGUCCACAAAUAUUUUAGUAUUAUUCGAAAGUAGUCGCUGUGAAUUUUUUUCAGAUUUUCUAAUUAUACCUACAAGAAGAUGCACUUUUUUGCGACAAUAUACAGAAUUACUGGGUUCAAGUAAGUCAGGUAGAAAAAUUGUAAUUACAAACAUAUU
rnacentral:lncRNA from 1 species